CAGCCGCCGCGGGAAUACGUGGGGUGCAAGCGUUAAUCGGAAUUACUGGGCGUAAAGCGUGCGCAGGCGGUUAUAUAAGACAGAUGUGAAAUCCCCGGGCUCAACCUGGGAACUGCAUUUGUGACUGUAUAGCUAGAGUACGGCAGAGGGGGAUGGAAUUCCGCGUGUAGCAGUGAAAUGCGUAGAUAUGCGGAGGAACACCGAUGGCGAAGGCAAUCCCCUGGGCCUGUACUGACGCUCAUGCACGAAAGCGUGGGGAGCAAACAGGAUUAGAUACCCCCGUAGUCCCUGUCUCUUAUAA
rnacentral:rRNA from 1 species